GAGGGUGUAGCUCAGUGGUAGAGCGCAUGCUUAGCAUGCACGAGGUCCUAGGUUCAAUCCCCAGUACCUCCA
rnacentral:tRNA from 1 species